rnacentral:rRNA from 1 species
GACGAACGCUGGCGGCGUGCUUAACACAUGCAAGUCGAACGGAAAGGCCCUGCUUUUGUGGGGUGCUCGAGUGGCGAACGGGUGAGUAACACGUGAGUAACCUGCCCUUGACUUUGGGAUAACUUCAGGAAACUGGGGCUAAUACCGGAUAGGAGCUCCUGCUGCAUGGUGGGGGUUGGAAAGUUUCGGCGGUUGGGGAUGGACUCGCGGCUUAUCAGCUUGUUGGUGGGGUAGUGGCUUACCAAGGCUUUGACGGGUAGUCGGCCUGAGAGGGUGACCGGCCACAUUGGGACUGAGAUACGGCCCAGACUCCUACGGGAGGCAGCAGUGGGGAAUAUUGCACAAUGGGCGGAAGCCUGAUGCAGCAACGCCGCGUGCGGGAUGACGGCCUUCGGGUUGUAACCCGCUUUCGCCUGUGACGAAGCGUGAGUGACGGUAAUGGGUAAAGAAGCACCGGCUAACUACGUG